AUGGAGCCUCCCUGUCUGGCGAUGGGGUGGGAGUCGGAUAGGCGUGCGGCGGUGAUUGUGCGAUCACGGAGACAUCUCUGCAGUCCCGAUGGCGUCGCUGCUGCAGUGGUUCCAUUCCGGCGGCAUCGUCGAUCCGUUCAAAACGGGGCUCGUCCAUGGGGUGGCCUGCCUAUCAAGACAGAGGCGUGGCCCGACAUCGUUAUUGCUCAAAUUCAGUGCGUUUCUCGCAACGGAUUACUGGGAAGAUGA
rnacentral:rRNA from 1 species